rnacentral:rRNA from 1 species
CCUACGGGCGGCAGCAGUGGGAAUUUUUGGUCAUUGAGGCAACUCUUACCCCGCCACGCCGCGUGAAUGAUUAAGGUCUUCGGAUUGUAAAGUUUUGUGAUGGGGGAUGAACACAAUUACGGUACCCCAAUAGCAAGCCACGGCUAACUACGUGCUAGCAACCGCGGUAAUACGUAGGUGGCAAGCGUUAGCCGGAAUGACUGGGCGGAAAGGGUUCGUAGGUGGUUUAGUAAGUUGGCGGUGUAAUUCCGGGGCUCAACCUCGGCGCUACCGGCAAAACUAUUAGACUAGAGUGCAGGAGGGGUAAGUGGAAUUCCUAGUGUAGCGGUGGAAUGCGUAGAUAUUAGGAGGAACAUCAGGGGCGAAGGCGACUUACUGGACUGUAACUGACACUGAGGCACGAAAGCGUGGGGAGCAAACAGGAUUAGAUACCCGAGUAGUC